UACGUAGGGUGCGAGCGUUGUCCGGAAUUAUUGGGCGUAAAGAGCUCGUAGGCGGUCUGUCGCGUCUGCUGUGAAAUCCCGAGGCUCAACCUCGGGCUUGCAGUGGGUACGGGCAGGCUAGAGUGCGGUAGGGGAGAAUGGAACUCCUGGUGUAGCGGUGGAAUGCGCAGAUAUCAGGAAGAACACCGAUGGCGAAGGCAGUUCUCUGGGCCGUAACUGACGCUGAGGAGCGAAAGCGUGGGUAGCAAACAGG
rnacentral:rRNA from 1 species